AAUCUGCUCGGUCUCUCGUAGAUCCUAGGCGAGAUGCUAAUUUUGGUGCUCUCGGUGGAUGGACAGGUCGAGGCGAAACAUCAUCAGCGCAGAUCGAUCUUAUCCUCCGAGCGCGAGGCAGGACGGUGGCUACCCUGCGAGAUUUUGAUGCGGCGUUUAUUAUUAGCAUCCAUUGGCCAAAUCCAGAUAUGAAUGGGCUCAUCAUACCAUGUCCUCGAGCUGUGCCAGGAUGAGAAUCAUUCACUAUGCGAUGAAGUCCUUUUUUUCUUGGCGUGUGAUGCAGUGCUGUUGGCAGAUUCGUGGUGUGGAGGAUCAUGGUGGAGAGCUAUGAGCAGAUACUCGUGAGAAGGCUUUGCAAGUCGCAGUAGUCGAAGAAGCAGGUGUUAGAAUCAUUAACUCUUAGUUUCUGUACAAGAUUGAAACUAGCCAUACAAAUCGGGUUGGGGUUACAA